GCUCGGCAUUCGAUAACUUGACCGCCUUAGCGAACUCCUGUGAGCUCCCUGCCGGGAAGAGGCCCGGGUAAAAAGCCUUCUCCUUCCUUCACCAUUGCCUCCAGAAUUGUGUUGUCAAGUGAAUUGCUGGCAGGAGGCAGACGUGCCUGCAUGGAAGAUUUUCAUGUGGCUGGUGAAUCAGCUCGAAAAUGUAAAAAGACUCCGCCGAGCUCUCUCCUCGUCGCCCUUCACAGUCCAAGCUGCUGUAAUCCUUUCUGCAGUGCCUGGGAAGCGCCUCCAGCUAUUGCUCACUGGGUCUGUGCUGGGCUCACGCCCAGCUGCAGCUCCAUGGCUCUCAAAAACAGGCCUGUCCUCCACACACCCAACAUGAUGCCAGCACGGCACCCUCUCCUUGGCUACCACCUUCCACAAAUUUCUGCAAAGCUGAGGGGAGAGGGCUGUCCUCAGAUUUGCCUUUGUUAAGUCACCAACACAUGGGACAGGCUCUUCAUAGAAAUGCAUAUACAUACCUAUUUUACAGUUUCUAGCCAACAGCAGAGGAAAAUUGAAAAUACAGCUCCUUAAAGCUAAAAAACCAGAAGACAACAGUGAAUACA